UCUGAGAGGAUGAUCAGCCACACUGGAACUGAGACACGGUCCAGACUCCUACGGGAGGCAGCAGUGGGGAAUAUUGCACAAUGGGCGCAAGCCUGAUGCAGCCAUGCCGCGUGUGUGAAGAAGGCCUUCGGGUUGUAAAGCACUUUCAGUCGUGAGGAAGGUGGUGUAGUUAAUAGCUGCAUUACUUGACGUUAGCGACAGAAGAAGCACCGGCUAACUCCGUGCCAGCAGCCGCGGUAAUACGGAGGGUGCGAGCGUUAAUCGGAAUUACUGGGCGUAAAGCGCAUGCAGGUGGUUUGUUAAGUCAGAUGUGAAAGCCCGGGGCUCAACCUCGGAAUAGCAUUUGAAACUGGCAGACUAGAGUACUGUAGAGGGGGGUAGAAUUUCAGGUGUAGCGGUGAAAUGCGUAGAGAUCUGAAGGAAUACCGGUGGCGAAGGCGGCCCCCUGGACAGAUACUGACACUCAGAUGCGAAAGCGUG
rnacentral:rRNA from 1 species